rnacentral:rRNA from 1 species
CCUACGGGAGGCAGCAGUAGGGAAUAUUGGUCAAUGGACGCAAGUCUGAACCAGCCAUGCCGCGUGCAGGAAGACGGCCCUCUGGGUUGUAAACUGCUUUUAUAUAGGAAGAAACCCCUGGAUGCGUUCGGGGCUGACGGUACUAUAUGAAUAAGGAUCGGCUAACUUCGUGCCAGCAGCCGCGGUAAGACGAAGGAUCCAAGCGUUGUCCGGAUUUACUGGGUUUAAAGGGUGCGUAGGCGGAAAUUUAAGUCAGUGGUGAAAUCCCGCAGCUCAACUGCGGAACUGCCAUUGAAACUGAAUUUCUUGAAUACGGUUGAGGUAGAUAGAAUAUAACAUGUAGCGGUGAAAUGCAUAGAUAUGUUAUAGAAUACCGAUUGCGAAGGCAGUCUACUAAGCCGUCAUUGACGCUGAGGCACGAAAGCGUGGGGAGCGAACAGGAUUAGAUACCCUUGUAGUC